UCAAGCUUGGAGUUUUGAAAACGUUGAGGGAAGGGUACCUUGGGAGUAGAUUCACUUACUGUGAUCUUUGUGUUGCUUGGCCCGACCUCGGUUUUUUCCUUGGGCUCCUCUACAAUAGGCGGUGGUGCAACAGACUUUUUAGGAACUUCCUCUAAUUGCCUCCCAUUUCGCAAACUCACUGCAUUGCACUGCUCGAUGUUGCUC
rnacentral:lncRNA from 1 species